rnacentral:rRNA from 1 species
AAGUCGUAACAAGGUCUCCGUUGGUGAACCAGCGGAGGGAUCAUUACUGAGUACUACACUCUCUACCCUUUGUGAACUAUUAUACCUGUUGCUUCGGCGGCGCCCGCAAGGGUGCCCGCCGGUCUCAUCAGAAUCUCUGUUUUCGAACCCGACGAUACUUCUGAGUGUUCUUAGCGAACUGUCAAAACUUUUAACAACGGAUCUCUUGGCUCCAGCAUCGAUGAAGAACGCAGCGAAACGCGAUAUGUAAUGUGAAUUGCAGAAUUCAGUGAAUCAUCGAAUCUUUGAACGCACAUGGCGCCUUCCAGUAUCCUGGGAGGCAUGCCUGUCCGAGCGUCGUUUCAACCCUCGAGCCCCUGUGGCCCGGCGUUGGGAUCUGCCACGGCAGGCCCCUAAAACCAGUGGCGGACCCGAAGGGCCCUCUCCUUUGCGCAGUAGCAUUCGCCUCGCAUCGGGAGUCCUCGGCGUCCUGCCUCUAAACCCCCACAAGCCCGCUUCGGCGGCACCAAGGUUGACCUCGGAUCAGGUAGGAAUACCCGCUGAACUUAA